GACGAACGCUGGCGGCGUGCCUAAUACAUGCAAGUAGAACGCACAGUUUAUACCGUAGCUUGCUACGCCAUAGACUGUGAGUUGCGAACGGGUGAGUAACGCGUAGGUAACCUGCCUGGUAGCGGGGGAUAACUAUUGGAAACGAUAGCUAAUACCGCAUAAUAUUGAUUAUUGCAUGAUAAUUGAUUGAAAGAUGCUAUUGCAUCACUACCAGAUGGACCUGCGUUGUAUUAGCUAGUAGGUGAGGUAACGGCUCACCUAGGCGACGAUACAUAGCCGACCUGAGAGGGUGAUCGGCCACACUGGGACUGAGACACGGCCCAGACUCCUACGGGAGGCAGCAGUAGGGAAUCUUCGGCAAUGGACGAAAGUCUGACCGAGCAACGCCGCGUGAGUGAAGAAGGUUUUCGGAUCGUAAAGCUCUGUUGUAAGAGAAGAACGGGUGUGAGAGUGGAAAGUUCACACUGUGACGGUAUCUUACCAGAAAGGGACGGCUAACUACGUG
rnacentral:rRNA from 1 species